rnacentral:misc_RNA from 1 species
CCCAGAGACCGGAAAGUUGGUCAAACCCGGUCAUUAGAGGAGUAAAGUCGUACAGGUUUCCGUAGGUGAACCUGCGGAAGGAUCAUUACCGAGUGAGGGCCCUCUGGGUCCAACCUCCCACCCGUGUCUAUCGUACCUUGUUGCUUCGGCGGGCCCGCCGUUUCGACGGCCGCCGGGGAGGCCUUGCGCCCCCGGGCCCGCGCCCGCCGAAGACCCCAACAUGAACGCUGUUCUGAAAGUAUGCAGUCUGAGUUGAUUAUCGUAAUCAGUUAAAACUUUCAACAACGGAUCUCUUGGUUCCGGCAUCGAUGAAGAACGCAGCGAAAUGCGAUAAGUAAUGUGAAUUGCAGAAUUCAGUGAAUCAUCGAGUCUUUGAACGCACAUUGCGCCCCCUGGUAUUCCGGGGGGCAUGCCUGUCCGAGCGUCAUUGCUGCCCUCAAGCACGGCUUGUGUGUUGGGCCCCCGUCCCCCUCUCCCGGGGGACGGGCCCGAAAGGCAGCGGCGGCACCGCGUCCGGUCCUCGAGCGUAUGGGGCUUUGUCACCUGCUCUGUAGGCCCGGCCGGCGCCAGCCGACACCCAACUUUAUUUUUCUAAGGUUGACCUCGGAUCAGGUAGGA